rnacentral:tRNA from 1 species
GUCAGGAUGGCCGAGCGGUUCAAGGCGCUGCGUUCAGGUCGCAGUCCGGUCUUCCGGGCGUAAGUUCGAAUCCCACUUCUGACA